GUGACCUCAAAUCAGGUAGGAUUACCCGCUGAACUUAAGCAUAUCAAUAAGCGGAGGAAAAGAAACUAACAAGGAUUCCCCUAGUAACUGCGAGUGAAGCGGGAAAAGCUCAAAUUUAAAAUCUGGCAGCCUUUGGCUGUCCGAGUUGUAAUCUAGAGAAGUGCUAUCCGCGCUGGACCGUGUACAAGUCUCCUGGAAUGGAGCGUCAUAGAGGGUGAGAAUCCCGUCUUUGACACGGACUGCCAGGGCUUUGUGAUGUGCUCUCGAAGAGUCGAGUUGUUUGGGAAUGCAGCUCAAAAUGGGUGGUAAAUUCCAUCUAAAGCUAAAUAUUGGCGAGAGACCGAUAGCGAACAAGUACCGUGAGGGAAAGAUGAAAAGAACUUUGGAAAGAGAGUUAAACAGUACGUGAAAUUGCUGAAAGGGAAACGCUUGAAGUCAGUCGCGUUGUCCAGGGAUCAACCUUGCUUUUGCUUGGUGCACUUUCUGGUUGACGGGUCAGCAUCAAUUUUGACCAUUGGAAAAAGAUUAGGGGAAUGUGACAUCUUAGGAUGUGUUAUAGCCCUUGGUUGCAUACAAUGGUUGGGAUUGAGGAACUCAGCACGCCGCAAGGCCGGGUUUUUAACCACGUACGUGCUUAGGAUGCUGGCAUAAUGGCUUUAAUCGACCC
rnacentral:rRNA from 1 species